UCCCUAAUCCGCCAUUGUAAAAUAAUUGCCUUGAUGAAGUGAAUGGAGUUGACACAAGUCUUUCUGUCUCAGUGGCUCUGAGUAGAAGCUACUUCUCCCAUGCAUAGCUCCUUCUUCCACAGGGGAAAAUCAUUUUCCACAUUCCUCUUUUGAUAUAUUUCCUUGGUCUGUUUCACACAACUUCCUACUUUAGUCAGAAGUAUGUUUUGAGACUUGGUCUUUGAAAGCAAUGGAAGGGAAUAAAGAGGGGGUAAAAAAGAAAAUCUUCAAUAACCAGGCAGCGACCACAGAAACUACUGAUAAGAGUGGCAGUACAGUACAUGGACUUCUAUCGAGGUAAAGACAAAGACACAAAAUCAAGACAUAACGAAUUCAAAUGAGAUGUACAAAAGGUUUGCAAAUGUAAACAUGUCACUCCUUUAAAUGAAUAUUGUGUGGUAGUUUGCCUAGAAUUAAAUGCGUUUUCACAAAUUGUAGUGCAAGACAACCUGUCAAAAAGUCAAGGCAAGUAAAUAUUUCACUGUAUAUAUCUUGUGGUGUAUUUACAUCUAUUUUUUCUGACAAGUGUCACUGAGUCCAGGCUCACUGAGACCAUGAGAGCUGUUGAUCCCUUUGAGAGCCUUCUUUGUCGACUCUUCUUGAACCCCAUUCAACGGCAGUCAUACUCAUUGUCCUUGUGGCACAUAGAUGGGUAUCAAAAACUAAUUCAGUUGAGAUUUGUCAUUCACGGGGGCACCGAUGGCUACAGCAGAAAGAUAAUGUACCUCUGUGCCUCUAACAACAAUAGGCCUUCAACUGUUCAACAGACCUUGAUGGGAGCUCUUCAGAAGUUCAGUUUACCACACUGUGUGAAUGUCAGAGUAGAAAGAUUCAAGCUGGAACAUCCCCUGGACCCGUGGACCAGGCCCUGAGACAGAAUGAUUUUUAGAAAGUUGCAGACAUAAAUUGCAGCCAUGUGAACUCCUCCAUCUUGGGCCGCUGGAAGCUGUUGGCAUCUCCAAGAACAACUUAAAUCAGAUGUCAAGCGUUUAAGAGGAGUUGUUUCAGCCGGUGUACACAGCCAGAGGAUUGAGAGGCUUUGGCGUGAUCUGUUGCAGUCAGUGGCUUAUAAUUACCACACCAGGAGCCCUGGAUCCUGAUGAUGAGACCCACAUAUUGUGCCUGCAUUAUGUAACGCUGCCCAGGAUCAACAUGCACUUUAAUGUCUUCAGGCAGACUUGGGACUGACAUCGUGUUUCUUCUCCAGGAAACAGAUCACAGCAGCUUUGGAUCUCUGGGCAGUAAACAAGUGAAGAGCAACCAACUC